UUAUCCGCGCGCUAAAAUUCGAAUUAUCCUUCAAAUUAUGUAAAAAAACAAUUGUUUGUGAUUAAUCAAAAUUUAUUACCAGUUUAUACGAAAGAAAUAAAAAUUCUAGGAGUUUUGUAGAAAAAUACUCGAAUCUCGAUUCUUCGAGUUAUCGCCACGAUAGGAUCUACGUGCCAUUUUCUGUGACGAUGAAAAAUGAUGUUACGUCAAUGUUGACUAAAAGAAUUCAAGCUAUUUCAAUAUACUAAUACAUAACGCCAACAUCGUGUUUGCUUGAAACGUUCGUCAAGAAAGAUUCGAAUGGCCCCCUGAAUUUUCGCCGAAAAAAGCAAACAAACCAACAGGAUCUUGAACAUUAAGUAAAUUAAACUGAAAUUUGAAACUGCAGCAGAUAUCAAAAUCUUUCCUUGUUCUGUGCAAGACAGCCACUAAAGCGUAUAAUUACCAAAGGAAAUAGCAUAGAACGACAGAUAAAGGUGACGUAAUGGCGAAUGAAUUUAAUUUGAUCGUAAAAGUUGCAUGAAAAUGUACAACGUACCAUCUACAUUAUUAUUUAAAAUAAGCAAGACGUAUAUUAUAGGCGAUUUGCAUAAUAAAAGUUGGAAUUAAAAUUAUUGCGUUCGAUCGCUACUUAUAUUCAGAACAGUCAAAGGGCAAAAUGAAUAUCAUCGAAAAUAUUUAUAAUCUGUCGGCUCAUAAAUCGCAUUAAAUCGCGAUUAAAUGGAAAUAACGACGACAAAGUAAGCAUCGUAUAUUCGAAUGGGAAUCUGUUCUCGCAAAUCUAUCUGUUUUUCCCUCGUUUAUUCAAGCAACGCUCGUUCCUGCCAACUUUUCACCCGAACAAUCUCCCGGAAGCAGUUCUUACUUCAUCGAAAGAACGAGUUUUACCUACCUUUCCCAAGUCCUACACAGUAGAUUCUUUAAGAAUCGAUGGGACAUUUAAGACGUAGUUGAUUUAAAAAAGUUUCGAAUGGAGUUUAAAGUUAAUGGCACGCUUAGAAAUGAAUAAUUGGACUCUUCAUUUGCAAGCUAUUCUUUAUGUCGUGAUAACAUAAACUUGAAAUGCGGACGAACCUCGAAAACUAAGAGUUAAUAAUAGUAUAAUUAAAAAUGAUAGUGGUUGAAGGUCAAUAACAGAAUAAUUAAAAAUGAGGGAUUGGUAUAUAGAUGGCUUUUGAACAUUUCUCCAACAGUGAUCGAAUCUUAAUAAUUGUACACUUAAUUACGAAUAAUUCAAACAUUGUAUUCUGUAGAUCUCUUAAUACAUUUAUGCGGAUGAAUUUUGGAAAUCUUCAAAUGAAGAGAUUAAAGGUUGACCCUUUGCACUCGAAAGGUGACUCACUCACCACAGCGUUCCAUGCUGCAACUUCAGUGGCGAGCGAGAAGCGAAGUCCCUGUUUAUGUUAGAUUUCGACAUCUGCAAUUGAUGAGAGUGCAAUAUUGGCUGGUAAAUUGGUUCCUUAGUUCUUUAUGUUCCUUGUUAGGAAGUGUAAAGUGUUAGACUUUAAAAUGAAGAUAAAAUAUCUUAUCCCAUAUGCCUCGGAAACUAUGGUUCUGACAACGUCUGCAAAGUUAGUUUGGAUUCGACGAUCAUGGCAAAAGUAUUAUAGUUCAGAAACCCUUAAAAAAUGGUUUUCGGAAGUGAAAUUAGCUGAAACGAAGACGAACUUGAUUUUGAACUGUUGAAAAAUGAGAUCAAUUAUAUUGAAGAAUGCAUCUUGGUAAAUACUUUAUAAAUUAUUAUGAAAAAAAAUACAGAAAUUAAUAUUACAAAAUCAUAUUUCCAAACAUGUAAAUAUAGAUAAAUUAUUAGAAUAUAAUUUUCUUUUUUUUAGUAAAUUUCUAUUCAAAGUCAUUUUACGCUAGCUGUAAGACACGCGUCACGUAUAUGCUAAAUCAUCCGGUGUAGCUGCUACGCCCCAUCGAAAAAGUCCUCGAGUGUAAAGGGUUAAUAAUAGCACGAUCAAAGUUGAGAAAUUGAAUAUUCCAUUCUAGAUAUUUUCCAUACGAACUUUCUUUCUUACAAAUGAAUUUCCUCAAUAACGAUUGCCAAUGGUAAUGACGUAAUUAAUGAUGCAUAAAUAGUAGUUUUAAUCCGAGUAUAUUUCAUACGAAAUAAGAAAUCUGGAAAACGAAUAGGUACGAAUUUCCGGAUACUAAACAAAAUUACGAAAAAUGAAGAACAAAAAUGUCUAUUCUAUGUAUUUUGUGUAUUACACGCCAAGAAAUUAAUUAUCUCGAAGAUAUGACAAAUUUCAUGUCUAAAAGACGACAGCGCUUUAAUAUUGCGAAUAAAAUUGAAGGGUUCGCAGCGAUAAGAAAACAGCUCCAAUAUUUAAAUUGCAUCCAUUGAAGGAGGAAAAGAAGUGUAGACUUUAUAUUCGAAGAUGUCAAAGUUUAUUACUACGAAUAUCGAUUGAUUAUGAAUUUAUACGACUUUGAGAUGCUGUGAUGCGGCCUUUCUGGAUUUUAAAUUGCAAUUUUUUAAAUCCUUCGAAUUAUUUUUUUUUAAAUUAUUAACGAAGUAAACAAUAUUAAUUAUUAAAUGAUAUUGUUCAAAUAAAGUGGAACUAUCUUCUGAUUGCAACAACCCCUUUAAAUUACGAUAGAGGGUGAAAAUAGAAAAUAGAGGAUUUACACAAAUUCAUAGUCACUUUAAUUAAAUAUAUCUAUGUACAUUAUAGGUACAUCAUAAUACAUUCACCAUAUGACGACUGUACAGCUUAGCAGCACUUUCAAUACUGUUCACAAAAAUACAUCGCAUAUAAACGAGCAAUCGGUUUAUACGCAAGGUCGGCCCAGGACUUGCGACCACAUGGAGCGCUUUCAUGGCAAGCUCCCACAUGGAGCCUCUAUUUCUCUCUCUCUCUCUCUCUCUCCCUUUCUCUCGCUCUUUCUCUCUCUCCCUCUCAAACACGAACUUUAUGUACAAAAAAGAUUUUCAGCUCGAGUCGCAGGUCGGGCCAAAAAAGGAAGGAACGUGCCACGAGAAAGUACGGUCUUUCACCAGGAGCCGAAACUGUUCACGACGAUGCUGCUCUGAAAUGACUUUAUCAAAGUUUUCUUUGGAAUUGUUGCCACGAACCGAACAAUGUUAUACAGAUAUGGAAGUUGCGGAAAGAAUUCAUCAGAAAUGGAGUAAAGUUCUCUCGUAGGAAACUUUUCUUUCGAGAUAUCCAAUUUUCGAAAUUUAUAGAUUGUUCGUAACUUUAGUCGAUGCAUGUAUAAUGAUCGAGAAGGUUGGUUUUACAAGAAAAAUCAAUAUAAAAGAUCAUAACACGAGUCUUGAAGAGACAAAUUUGAUAUUAACGUUAGUAAUCAUUUAAAAAUUAAUUUAUAAUAUACGAUUACUAUAACCUAUCAUUAAAAAUACUGCCAUUUGUUGGUAAAGAUACUGAACGCUAUGUUUUUCACUGAUGGCAACAAAGGUUUAAGUUAAAUUAAGAUUGAAAAAUAUAUCGAUGAUGUGAACAACGUUUGUAGCGUGUUUUAAAUAAUUUUCACAGUCAAUUCAUAGUCAAUUUAGCAAAAAUCUGAAUCUUCUAUGAGAAAAUCUCGCACUGCAUUUCCGAUUCACUUUCUCAUGAAAAAUCGCUACACACAGUCGCAGAUCCGAAAACUGUUAAAAACACAUCGACAUUUUUAAUAUCAUUUUUAACAGGUCGAAUCUCCAUGGAAGAUAGACUGUGCGACGACCACUAGGUAGCAUCGAUCUAUGCGACUGAAAAAUACUCGGUCGACAGGGAAAUCAUUUUUAAAAAUCGUCUCGAGGAGCGGAAUCGCAGCUUUCAACCCCCGGAUCCGGAAGUAAUAUCAACAAACAGCCGCGGCUGCCCGAGUGGGCUGCGGAUUUAUCUUAAGUACCAUCAAGAAACACGAGAUAUUGACACUUUUGAUACCGAUGAUAUUUAUACAAUUACAUAGAGUUGUGGUGCAAUGAAUCCGGCCUUUAGCUGUCGCGACGAGAACGUGUCGGUUCCGUGACUUCAGGGAUCGGAUCUUACUCGCGAUAUAUUCUUAUCAUAUUCAUUAGACUAUGAUUACAGAGGAUACAUGGUUCGAUGAACUGUCGUUCUGACAAAACGUUCGACAACCGAAAUGCAUACGCUCAGAAAUAGAUUGCGGACGUUCGUGGAAAUUUAUAUUUUCGUAGGUACAUAAUUAAAAACAAGUAGAACUUGAACGGAGAUUUAUUUUCUGCUAAUUGUUUGUAUUUCAGCAUUCUGGAAAUUUCUAUAUUUUCAAGUUGCCGUAAGAAUCUCUACAGAGCACGCAUCUGUCGCAAUCAUAGUGCUAUUUCUAAACGCAAGCAUGGAAAUUUUGCGAAAUUUUGCCUGCGAAAAGUGCCAAACCGACUUCCGUCCUUCACUCGCGUUAUCACAAUUUGUUAUAAUCCCAAUCUCUCUUUCUCCCUUCUGUCUCUUUCGCUCUCGCAUUCUCUCGUUCUCGCGCUGUGUCACAAUGUGCUUCAGGAGAGUUGUAUGCGUUUGCAAUUCACGGUUACUAUGUACAGAAACGAUUUUUUCAUCCUUCUUAUAUUUUUUGUUUUUUGUCUUUUUUUUUCUGUUUUUGUUUUUCGCGAAACAACUUAAGGAACAUUUGGUAUCGAGAGCAAUAAUUCGGUCGGAUGGCGACGGCCUGUCGCGAGAAAUCGAACCUCCUCUUCUUUUAAACGACCGCGUUUAAUCGCGUAGGAACGUGUCUCUCUCUUUCAUACGCGCCGAAAACUGCGUUUCGUAUCUCCUUGUCAAUGGCGUGUACAACGAGCGUACGAAGCACUCGUAGCUGAUCGAGACACCGGUGAAAUGGAAUUCCAAGUCUUUAAAACGUCGUCACCGUGUGGAAGAGAACGAAUUUUCUGGUAUUGCAGGAUCUGAAUUGUGCCACGGUGGCCGGCUAAAAGUUUCAGGGUGGGUUGCUUGUCUGAAGAAAACCGAGCUUUUUGUUUUAGAAGAGUGUUUGUAACACUGUAUUGAAACAUUAUUUCAAUAAAAUUUUGUUCCAGUUUUACUUAAUCGACUGUGAAUGUUUAUGCAAAGUCGUGUUUUUACUCUAACAGCAAAUGGAAUCUAAAUACUGUAGCGAGUAUUUUAUUUUUAUAUAUGUGCUAUAUUUUUUUACUAGUUCUGUGUAUAUAUAUAUAUAUAUAUAUAUAUAUACACUUAAUAUUUUGUGUAUUUAUUAUAUCAUACAUUGAUUUAUUAGGUCCAAGUAUAUUACAUUUUGUAUCGCUUAGUAGUACUUUCAUACGACCAAAAAUUAGAUAUCAGUUUGGAAAUGAAAUGUAGAGCCUAAGAGAAAGGUGCUUUAUUGGAAAAUAGAAAUAUUUUUAGUUGUGCAGAUUUCUGUACAUUUAAAAUUCACACAAAUGCAUAAACCUUCGUAGAUUACGAAGAUUAAUUAAAUUAUUUAAAUAUUCGGAAUACUUUCGUCUUUAUUGUGUUUUAUGGUGUUAUUAAACUGAAUAAAGUUUGUUUAAUGUUCUUUCGAACUGUCUGUUAAUGAUCGAAAGUUAUAGAUAUUUUAACGAUUACUUGUCACUAGUUUAAAAAGAAACUCUAUAUCGAGCAUUUUACCGUAUAAACAAAGUAUAUUUUAAAGGAAAGAAGGUGCAUCGAAAACAAUUGAAAAGUAUUCACAGGAAAUUGGAAAUGUUUUAUGUUUAAUGGAGCAACAACGUUAUUCAAGCGAACGACUCUUUGACCAUUUGAAACGGUGAAUAAAACUCAUUCUAAUAUUUAUUAUUGUUUGCUUAACGUCGAUCGUUAUUUAAUUCAGGCUUUCCAUAAGAAAUGGUCGGAACGCGAAGCUGCAAUUUUAGUAAUUUAAAAUCCCGGUACCUCGUUUCCCGUGAAAACAUUUAAAAACUUUGUACGUUUGUCUCCGAAUGAACGAUUUAAUAGAUUUAUGAAUAUCUAUAUGAAAAAUGAAGGAGCCACGGACUUGUCAGAAAAUACGAAACGUGUAAAAAUGAAAAAUUGAUACGUAGAAUCAUUUUUACAAUAAUAAAAAGAAACAUAACAAUUCCAUUGAAAAAAGUUCGACGAAUAAAUAUAAAUUUAUGCAACAUUUCAUAUCCAAGGCGUGGCAGGACAUUUCGAAUGCGGAAGUAAGUAAAAAAUGUGGAAUAUAUCCUUUUCGUUCAAAGAGGCCUGCUUGAGAUUUAUUCUUCUUUAUUUAUUUAUUUAUAUAUAUUUUUUAUAAGGGAGAGCUCAAACGAAAAUAUGUUUCAUUUUACAUUUUUUAUUUAUUUCUUCAUAUUGCCGCUACGCGUCUUGCCAUUCCCUGUAUACUUUAAAAAAUGCUUCCUAAGUCUCAGAUCCUUUCUUCGUUUCACGUUUAGGAUUCAUUCCGUAAAUUUCAACUUUUCGUAAAUGCAUAAACAUGCGUAAAUGAAACUGAAUUCUUAAACUAUGGGAAUACAAUUAUAUGUUAUAUACGAUAACUAGAAAAUAUAUUUAAUUUAAUGUAAAUAGAAAACUUGAUUUUGCCUCUGCAGCUUCUUACCAGUGUCACUGGAAUUAUUUUUAAUUUUGUAAAAAAAAAAAAAAAAAGAAGAGAAGAAAAGAAAACGCGUACGAGAUUUAUUUGAUAUUCGUUUCUACUAGGAUAAGUGUGUGCGUAGAAAUAUAUCGUGAAUAGAUAGAUGCCGCAGGCAUCGGCAUCGAUGGAAAACGUUUAUAAUGCGUUACAAAUACUGGAUUGGUGAAUUUCUGAAAGCAUCCCGUCAUGUGCAUGGCGUGUAUGCGUUGAUGGAAACCUGACGUGAGUCAAAAAUCAAAAUACGUCUGGUAUCAAUACUAUUAAAUCUCUCUGCUAGAAAAACUGAAAUUUAAAAUUGAAGCAACACAAAGGAUACUCUGUUGAAUAUUGAAACGCGGCUACCAAUUUGUCAAUGUUCUUCCUACAAAAAGGAUAAUGAAAAAUAAAUAUUAAUUUUAGGGCGCAAGCGUUUUAACGUGCAAGAAAAAUCGUAUCAACAUUUUUCUAUUUAAUUACUGUCCAAUCUAUCUUGUUACAUUCGUCCGAAAACCGAUGAAUGUCCAAUGUUCUUCUCAAGGACAGCUUCUUUUUUCCAAAAAUGUUACACAACCUUUCAACAAUAUUUUUGAUUUUUUAAUUUCUUUAAAGACACGUGCGUUUCUUAAGUUCUUGCAAUUUGUAAAUUUGCAGAAAUGUGUUUCUCAUAAUUCGAAGAUACUAUAAAUGAAUCGAUUCUAUUCCGAGUAUACAUUUGAUAAAUAUUUAUCGUGAUUUUCGAUAAUCAGAUGAUUAUCGCACGUAAAACUGAACGUGUUAAUGAAAAUCAUGCAAGUGAUGAAACAAAUGAUAACGAAAAUAAAUAAUACAAAUAAUAUCACAAAAUUAGUAAGUUCUUUAUAACAAUAACAAUUCAUUAAUUUUGUAAAAAUACAAACAGUCAAGAAAUCCUAAUAUCUACAGAUUUCCGUCUCUUUUAUCAACGUAUUCUUGCAAUAAAAUUACUAAAAACCUUUACAAAAUUUAAUUCAUUUCUGGAAGACGGCUUGUUUGAAAUCGGCGAUACGAUCAAAUGCUAUCGAGAAGCAGGGAUGAACGUGAAAUUCUAAUUGCAAUUCUAGAGUCACCAAAAAAUUUUCCUAUGUUUGAGACAAGAGAAUCGUUUCAGAAAUGUCAUCAAGCAGAAAUCGCUUGAAAAUCUAUUCGCGUAGAUCUGUUCGCUUUGGUACGGCAAAACUUUGCUUCGCAAGUUUCGAAUAUUUUUAAUUCAGAACAGCUUUCCACCCAUUAAAGAUCCAACGAAAAAAUUGUCGCCGGAAUUUUAAAAACAAUACAACGAGAAACAAUCGAUCAUCAACGAGAGUCACGUAUUUUCCACGAGGGGGAGGCGAUUGUCAACUUUGUCGCGAGUAGGGUAUAAAAGGAAAAAUCAGGAAAAAAAAAUCGUUGGGACAAAGUUUUAAUUUAGUUGUCAGCGUCUGAUUGUUCGGAAAUUUCGCGUGUCAAGAAAAAUUCUCAGUUUAAUUGGGGCCGAAACUCAAAUUCAGUGCUCUCCCCUUUCGCGUUUCAACGAUGAAUCUUUUAUUAAAAAUAUGACAAUUAUUGGGUAACUUUACUUUUAAGAGGAUAAAAGGGUUCGAUUAUGAAUUACGUCUAGGAAGACUGGCGCAGGAAUAAAUAGCAAAAGACUUGACAUAGGAUGAGGGUGGAUGAAUUUGUAGCCGGAAUAAAGAGACGAAGCAGCAUUCCGAGGAUAAAAGGAACUUUUUUAUCACGAACAUCUUGGACUCUGUUAAUAACAAAUACCCGAGAAAGUUAUUAAGGAAAAAAAGGAUAAUAAUAAAUAAUAAUAUGAUAAAAAAUACUAAAAUUGGCUUGUUUGAUCGGCAAAGUAACAUCUCCCCUUGGAAGGAAUAGCGCUCAAUUACUUUUAUGAAUUUUCCUCGGACGAAUUAAUCGUAAUAAAGUGGAAUUCCUUUUACUCGCGAGUUGAUCUUCUUCGUUCCUAUUAAAAUAUAUCCUGUUUAAUUUCAUUCUCAACCUAUAUCGAAUCUUUAUUAUUUACUCUACAUUUCGAAGCUUUAUGAAAAUAGCUUUAUAUCACGAAAAUAACUUUAUAACUUACAAAUUUUAUAACUUUAUGAAAAGAUAUGACUGUUCGAUGCUUUCUCUGUAAAAUUCAUUUCACGCGGUGAGAUCUGAACUUUUUAUUAGAAAAAUUUUGUUUGUUACGGUACUCUCUGAUAAACGUCACUUUUCUUAUCGAGAUGUCGAUAGAAAAGAUGAGUCUACUUGAAAAUGCGAAGCUUUUACUAAUUCUAAAUUUAAGAAAAAAUGUAGAAGCGUCCUAAAGCUGAUGUCAUUAUACUUCGUGAGAAUAUUUAAUGUCGCUAUCCAUCAUCUUCGGUGUGGCAGCUACGAAUUCAGAAAAGAAAGUAUAAAAGUAUACGACGUAAUGAGAUUAAACUUGAAGAAUUCAAACGUAGAUUAUCGUCAUUGCACGUAUUUUCCAUUAUAAAGCAUAAUAAAUAUAAAAAUAUCGUAAAAUUGCGAUACACGUGGCGAAAUGAAGGUGGCAGAAACUACGAAACUUUAAAUUGCUAUUUUAUUACCUCGUAGUAAAAGGUAACGUGUAAAACUUUAAUAAAACGUUGACUUUUGAAGGAAGACCGACUUUGAGAAAGUGAGACGGGCCGAUCUAUUGGGAUCUAAUUCGAAAAUAUGUAAAAGUUCAUGUUCUAAAAUCAGUUUGCACUUCAAACGUGAUAAUACCAGUAUCAUCGAUCAUCAUCUUAUCAAUUUUUAAUUAAGAAGUGUUUACAGAAAGACAUCGUGGUCUUGAAAUUUUGAAACUUCCAAGGGAUCGAACUCGAACCAAUCUAUCAAUUUCUAGUUCAAAACAAGUACAACUUUCUAAAACUAAAUUGAUCCUCAUCUGAUGUCUAUGUCGAUAUUAGCAAAACUGUGAACUUUAGACAGAAAGUUGAUGCCAAGCUUCAGAAAUUACAUACAAAUAAUAAAGCAGGAUUAUUAAUGAAAGUGGAUUCAAAAAAUUACUUUCUUUGUAAAAUGUUAUUUUGAUUUAUAGGUUUUUUUUUUGUUUGUUUCAAAUUUCAUAAAUUUAAGUAUGCGUUUUUAUGAAACUAGUGCACGCUAUACCUCAUUCUGAGUUAUUCAUUUUUAUUUUGCAUUUAUCAGAGCUAAUCCAUCAAUUUUAUCUCAAAAUACAUUUCGUAUAGGUUCUAUUACAAGUGACAAGAAGAUGUUUCAUUUAAGAGAAAGCACUUUACGACCCACGUUUCUUAAUCACAUUUUGUUUCAUUCGAAUGAAUAAUUCGUGCUUCUAAAGUUCAAGCUUACCAUCUUCCAAUGCUCUUUGUGGACAUUAUAUAACAGAAUAGUUAAAAGACGCAAAAUAGGUCUUGUUUCUAUUUAAAGUCGCUGAAGUUGUCUUAUGUUUUCGUAAUGACGAGCAAUCUUUCAAAUUAAAACUGAUUGACGAAUACUGGUAUCAAUAUUUUUUUAUAACUAUCGCAAUCUCAACUUGAAAAAUAUUAAUACAAA